rnacentral:rRNA from 1 species
CCAGCAGCCGCGGUAAUACGGAGGGUGCGAGCGUUAAUCGGAUUUACUGGGCGUAAAGCGUGCGUAGGCGGCUUAUUAAGUCGGAUGUGAAAUCCCCGAGCCUUACUUGGGAAUUGCAUUCGAUACUGGUGAGCUAGAGUAUGCUUGAGGAUGGUAGAAUUCCAGGUGUAGCGGUGAAAUGCGUAGAGAUCUGGAGGAAUACCGAUGGCGAAGGCAGCCAUCUGGCCUAAUACUGACGCUGAGGUACGAAAGCAUGGGGAGCAAACAGGAUUAGAUACCCUGGUA